GCCCCCUUAGUAUAGCCUGGAUAGUAUGCGAGCUUGCGGAGCUUGAGACCGGGGUUCAAAUCCUCGAGGGGGCG
rnacentral:tRNA from 1 species